UACGUAGGGAGCGAGCGUUGUCCGGAUUUACUGGGCGUAAAGGGCGCGUAGGCGGCCUGUUAAGUGUGGUGUGAAAUCUCUGGGCUCAACCCAGAAACUGCACCGCAUACUGGCAGGCUAGAGAGAUGUAGAGGUAAGUAGAAUUCCUGGUGUAACGGUGACAUGUGUAGAUAUCAGGAGGAAUACCGAUGGCGAAGGCAGCUUACUGGGCAUUUUCUGACGCUGAGGCGCGAAAGCGUGGGUAGCAAACAGA
rnacentral:rRNA from 1 species